rnacentral:rRNA from 1 species
CCUACGGGAGGCAGCAGUGAGGAAUAUUGGUCAAUGGACGCAAGUCUGAACCAGCCAUGCCGCGUGCAGGAAGACGGCUCUAUGAGUUGUAAACUGCUUUUGUACGAGGGUAAACGCAGAUACGUGUACCUGUCUGAAAGUAUCGUACGAAUAAGGAUCGGCUAACUCCGUGCCAGCAGCCGCGGUAAUACGGAGGAUUCGAGCGUUAUCCGGAUUUAUUGGGUUUAAAGGGUGCGUAGGCGGUCGGAUAAGUUAGAGGUGAAAGCCCGAGGCUCAACUUCGGAAUUGCAUCUGAUACUGUUAGGCUAGAGAGUAGUUGCGGUAGGCGGAAUUCAUGGUGUAGCGGUGAAAUGCUUAGAGAUCAUACAGAACACCGAUUGCGAAGGCAGCUUACCAAGCUACUACUGACGUUGAGGCACGAAAGCGUGGGGAGCAAACAGGAUUAGAUACCCCAGUAGUC